rnacentral:rRNA from 2 species
ACAACGACCUCAGAGCAGGCGAGACUACCCACUGAAUUUAAGCAUAUCAAUAAGCGGAGGA